rnacentral:rRNA from 1 species
UUCAGAAUUCCAUUUUGGAAAAUUUAACAUAUGUUGGAAGCUAAGCAGGGUCGGGCCUGGUUAGUACUUGGAUGGGAGACUACUUAGGAAGACCAGGUGCUGUAG